AUGAAAACUAGUAUCAGAAACCACUUGAUUUCACAGUCUGUGCUACUCUUGUUAUCUUACACUGGUGGCAUUUUUGAACUUGGUUUCUUCACACCAGGUAACUCUCAACACUAUUACAUCGGCAUCUGGUACAAAAAUCUUCCCCAACAGACAGUUGUUUGGGUGGCAAACCGAAACCAACCAAUUAUUGAUCCAACUUCCUCGUCCCUUGUGCUCCUUGAAAAUGGAAACUUGUCCUUAAACAGCCUCUCAACCGUGGCAAUAUGGUCAGCAAAUUCAACAUCACAAGCUAGAAAUUCUACUAUAGCCAUGCUUCUGGACAAUGGCAACUUUGUCAUAAGAAAUGCAUCUGCAGUACUAUGGCAGAGUUUUGAUCAUCCAACUGAUACUUGGCUGCCAGGUGCAAGGCUUGGAUAUAACAAGCUUACCAAGGAAAAACUAAUUCUUUCUCCCUGGAAAAAUCCUCAAAAUCCAGCACCUGGUCCCUUUUCUUUUGAGUUAGUACAGACUAGUCUUUGGUUGUUUUGGAAAAGUUCGGAAACUUACUGGACUAGUGGUUAUUGGACAGGGAAAACUUUCAGCCGUGUUCCAAAAAUAGAAGUGAAGUAUGAUGCUACAGUUUAGUCAUUUGUCUCAAAUGAUAAUGCAAGGUAUCUUACUUAUGUAGCUAAUUCUAUUGCCUAUCAUAAUACCUUCAUCAGGUUCAUGAUAGAAACCACUGGUCAAUUGAAGUUCUUUGGCUUGGAUAUGGGCUCCCUGCAAUGGAAUCUGCUAUGGAUGGAUCCAAUCGAAGGAUGUGAUGUUUAUGCUUCCUGUGGUGCUUUUAGCAUAUGCAACCCACCUAUUCCUCAGUGUGGCUGCCUAAAAGGAUUUGAACCCACAUUACCGAACCACUGGGAAUUAAAAGAUUACUCAAAUGGCUGUGGGAGGAAAACUUCUUUUCAUUGCGGUGAGGAAGGAAAUUCUGCAUUCCUGGUGAUGGAGAAUGUUACUUACCCGAACAGUCCCGACUCCUUGGUAGUUGAGAACAUUGACAAAUGUAGAUUAGCUUGCUUGAGAAAUUGCUCAUGCACUGCUUUUGCUUAUGAUAAUCAGUGUCUGGUUUGGAAGGGUGAUCUGUUUAAUGUAAAACAACCAUCAUCUGAUGGAAUGUUGGGAAAAGUGUGGUAUCUACGAGUAGCAUCAUCAGAGAAGAAUCAAAUAAUAGAUUCUAAAGAUGGGAACAGAAAGAGAAAGACUACUUGGAUUGUGGUUGGAGUACUUGCAGGCAUCUUUUCUCUCUUAAGCAUUGUGCUGGUCUUUGUCCGACGGAGACAGUCUGUUGGAGCAUUGGAGUCUCUUGAGGAUCCUCUAGUGCUGUUCAACUACAGACAUUUGAUGAAAGCAACAGAAAACUUCUCAGAGAAACUUGGAGAAGGAGCUUUCGGUUCUGUUUUCAAGGGGAUAUUGCCUGAUUCAACUCCCAUAGCAGUGAAACAACUAAAGAGUCUGUUGCAGGGUGAAAAGCAAUUUCAGGCUGAAGUGAGAACUCUUGGUGCAAUCCAGCACAUUACUGUUCUUCGCCUCCGUGGGUUUUGUGCAGAUUCUACAAGAAGACUCUUGGUAUAUGACUAUGUGCCAAAUGGCUCUCUACAAUCUGUUCUAGUUCCAAAACAUCCACUAAUCUUGGAUUGGAAAAAAAGAUAUCAUAUUGCCAUAGGCAUUGCAAGAGGAUUGGCUUAUCUCCAUGAGGACUGUAGAGAUUGUAUAAUACACUGCGACGUUAAGCCAGAGAACAUUUUGUUGGAUGCAGAAUAUAGUCCAAAAGUCGCAGAUUUUGGUCUUGCAAAACUCAUUGGGAGACACCAUAGUCGAGUUCUGACAACUGUGCGAGGAACUGUUGGAUAUCUAGCACCAGAAUGGUUUACAGGUGAAGCCAUCACUCCAAAAGCCGAUGUCUUCAGCUAUGGGAAGUUGCUCUUUGAGGUUAUAUCUGGAAGGAGAAACACUGAAGGGUUAGAUGAUGGAUUAGAGAACUACACCCCUAACCGGGUUGCAAAUGUAGUAACUAGAGGGCAAGAUGUUCUUACCUUGGUUGAUUACAGGUUGGCAGGUAAUGCUGACAAAGAUGAACUCAUUAGAGCAUGCAAAGUCGCGUGUUGGUGUAUUCAAGACGAAGAGAUGGAUAGGCCAACAAUGAGGCAGGUCGUUCAAAUUCUGGAAGGAGCUUUAGAUGUUGGUAUACCCCCGAUCCCACUGUUUCUCCAGCGCCUUUCCGGAAGUCCAAAGGAAGUAAUCAAUUACUCGGAACCUUAG